CCCACUGCCCUGGAGAGAAGGCAAACAAAGCCAGUGGCACGAGGGAGGAACACCGCAUACACGCUGGGCACUGCUGCUCAACCAGAUCAACCCGAAGUUUGGCAAACCGGCUUCUCUCCGGAGUUCAGAACACCUUUGGUGGCCUCUGCUGCCACCUGCUGGCCACAGCGGGGUAGACUGGUUUGUGGGUGUUUUCAGGCGUUCCUCUUUUUCUGUCUGCAUGAUGUCAUCCUCCCCUGUGGCCGUGGGACCAUCUACAUGCUGUUGACUCCCAAAUCUUUCCGUCUUCUGAGAUCCUGGUCUGUGUAUCUGGAUGCAAACGUCUCUGACCCUCCAGUCCCCUGACACCCCUCAAGUGACAAGGGUUCCUAAAAGGCAGAGCUGGAACCAGGCCCCAGGUCUCCCAGCUGCUGACUCAACCUUCACAUUUCCAACAGUGCAGCACCAGACACGGGCACAGUGACUGCCAGAGAAGGAAGAGAUAAAGAUCAGUGCUGGCUGGUGGCAGAGGCAGGAUUUGAACUCCAAUCAGAGUAGCGACCAAGCCAGGUUCUUUCUCUAGCACACUGUGACACUGCUGGAGGCAUGUCGGCUUCUAAAACACACAGCUAAGGAGUAUGGGCCAACAGAAGGACCCUGGCCAGGCACAGUGGCUGGACACAGGCUUGUGGCGAAAGUGUCGCUGGAAGGGGCGGGCGCUGACUUCCGUGCCAGGUUGCGGAAACUGAAUGGGUCCCAUGGACGAGAAAAGAUGAGGGCAGAGGGCGGGAAGAAGGAAUGGAACAAGGAAAAGGGACAAAGAAGGAACAAUCGGACUGAGGAGCUGAAGCAUGAUGGAGACAGAUUCCUACACCUUACACCACGGAGCAGGGUGGGACAUCAUAGCCUGCCACCUGUGUGUACCUUGCAAGUUAAGGAUGGUUCUCUCUCCCUCUCUCUCUCUCUCUCUCUCUCUCUCUCUCUCUCUCUCUCUCUCGUGCUGGGGAUUGAGCCCAGGGCUUCAUACAAGGUUUUUCACUUUUUAAAAAAAUUUUUUUUAUUUUUUGGUACCAGGGAUCGAACUUGGGUCCUUGCGCUUGCGCGGCAGGUGGCGAAACCACGAAGCUAAAUCCCGGGUCCUUGUUUUUCACUUUUAAAUGCUUGAAAAAAAUACAAAAGAAAAAUCAUUUCAAAUGAUGCAUGAAAAUGAUGUGAAAUUGCAAUUUCAGUUUAUUUCUAUAAAUAAAGUUU
rnacentral:lncRNA from 1 species